AGCCCGCAGCAGCUGAGUGUUUAUCGCGGCUUCCUGACCUCUGCUGCUGCGCUUCUCCAGCUUGAGGGCCCGGUGCUUCCUCCCACCUGCUGCCAGGUGUCCCCUUAGGGCUUUCUGCGUCUGCCCCACAUCUCGGAGACCUACCCGGGAUGAUAUUGCACAAGUUGAGGUUGUUGCUUGGGGACUAACUCACUGCUAAACGACGUCCAUAAAUCCCUCGGGGUUGCUGCAGACAGGCCACCCUGGCUGGCAGUGGAACGGCCCAUCGUGGCAGGGUAUGGAACAUGCCCAGGAUCCAAACCAAUGAAACCCUGGGCAGGGGAAGCAGAGCGCGUGAACUUAACCACUUGGCCACAGGGCCAGCCCUGAGCCUAGAAGGUUUUUAUGGAUUUAAGUACCUGAGUAACCGGCACCCAGAUCUAGAUAAACAUAAGACUGGAGUUGAAGGGGGGUGGAGAGGAAAGUGACGGAAAAGAAAAACCGCAACCAGAUGGAUUCGCAAGGCUUCAUCUUAGCAUUAUACUGGGGCGGGACCAGUGCUGCUUCUGGGUCCUUCUGGGGCUGUGGCCAUGAGUCUCAGCAGUAGUGAAAGUAGACUCGACCCUAGCUGUAUGGGCACCAUUCUGAAGACAGAACCAGUUGGGGUCAAUCUGCCCUGGGAGGGAGCCAUGGCCCUUUCCACUCCCAUGGGGUCUUUCGGGCAAAAGGCAACCGACACAGGCAGCUGCUUCUACUUUUCAAAAGUUGCAAUUCAUUAGUCUAGUGUUAACCUCCUUUAAAUCUAAAAACCAAAAUCUUCAAAAAAUAGAGUCUUGUAUUUUAGAAUGUGAAAUGAAAGAGAGCAGUCACGUCUGACCCAUCCCUCUCACGUUUAGGAUUCUUUGUUAGUGUGUCCGUCAACUCGCGUUCACCCUGCUCCUUUCGAGGUCAGAGGCUUGCAGCUUUGCGAGCAGCCCUCUCCAUCACUGGACAGCUCUCGCAGGGAAAGAGCACGUCCUCACGCUGAGCCAGGGUCUGCCACCUGGGGCCUUCCUCCCAGGGCUUCUGGAGCAUGUCACAUGAAGUCCCACCCCUCCUCCACAGGAGAGCGCUUCAAGUGUCUGAAGACUGUAAUUUCAUCUUCUCUGAGUGUCCUGUUAUUCAGAACAAGCAUUUCAAAGGCUCUCAACUAUUCUUCAAAUUACACGGUUGCUGCACCGUCACUUUCUGCUU
rnacentral:lncRNA from 1 species